CUAGAGAAAAAGUCUGGCCAGUGUUCAAGCAUGAUUCAUCCCAAUGUAAGUCAGGUCUCUGUGCAGCAUCCCAUGGAAGGCAUGGAAGCCAGUUACUGCCUAAAAAGGAGAGUUCAGCUGGGAAAGAACAAUGUAACCCUCUUCAUCCUGAUGUGACUAAGGACUGGAAGUCUGAUGAAUAGAAGCAAUCAUCCAAAAGUACUACUGUCAGUCUAACUUUGCGAUUUUGGUUGAAGAUCUUUCCUGUAGGCUACAACAAUACUGAGACUGGGUUAAAGAUUUUGUCUGAGGCUCUUUUUUA